rnacentral:misc_RNA from 1 species
CACAUUUUGGAACAGAAAAAAGAAUUUGGUAUGUUCCACGGAAAUUCUAAUUAAAAAACCAGUUGUACUGCUGAUGUGUAGAAGUGUUGGUUGUUGUGGUUCACUAUCAUGCCAGCCCACAGCUGUUGUACUGUCAUGUACUUUGUUAGAUGCAUCAUCCAGGAGCGCACGCUCAAACUGCCAAAGACAAUUACUAUAUAUAUUAUCUGUGAUUGCUAGCAACAGAUCAACAGCUUACCUUCAAUACUCAAGGAGCAGUAAGCAAGACCCCCGCCCCACCUCCACCCAAACCUACCCCCCCCCCCCCCCCCCCCCCCCCAUUAGGCACAUAGACUGCCCCCCUCUCCUACCUUGGAUAAGUGACUUAAUAUAAAUCAAAUAUAAUGUGAUCUGUGGAAAGCUGCAUACUCUUAAAAUGCAGAAUAAUAUUUCUUUGUUUUUAUUUUUAUUAAAUUGUUAAUUAUAUUUCAAAAUAGGUGGUUUACUGUUCCUUGAGUACUGGUACCCUUCUUUUUAUUUUUAUUUACAUGUAAAAGUUAUAUCUGCUUUUCUAUGCUAUCUUUGACGGUUCAAAGCAGAGUUACUAUAAGAUGUGGAUUUGUGACCGAUUGAACAUUCCUCGUAGUAGUACACAUAUAUCGACACAGCUAUUAUUAUCUUAAGUAUCUGUUAUUGUUAACGACUGUAGAAGCAGAUGAGGUAUUUGUUUUUGUGCAUUCAUUUAUAUACAUGUGUAUUGUGCUGACUUUACCAGUAUGUUCUUUGUUAUUAUCUUUUUUUGUCUAAUGUUUAGUGUCAUUAAAGUAUUGGGAAAAAGAAAGUAUUUGUGCUAAAGUCUGCUGUAGUAUCAGUCACAAAGAAUUCAAAAUGUUGGUUUUUUUUAUUUAAACAAAGCAAACUUACACUUGGUUCCUAUGUGACAAUGUCUCUUUUUUAAUACUAAUUAUUAGCUCAGAUAAUAAAAAAAAAUUGAAAAAAAGAACAAGAUGAUACCAUUUUUAUAUAUUAACUUGUAAUGUGCAAUUCAAGUAUUUAAUAAACUAUUUCAUAUUCUCACUC